CUUCUGCUGCUCAGCAACAAGAGGACAGAACCGCCUACAGAAGCCUUAAAGAACUUUCUGAUACUGGUCUCUGUAUCCUUAUUCUAUCUCAUUCAGCGACUCUGGGAGCCUCUUUUAGCCAAAUAAAGUCAUGUUCAUUCUGCCAUUCCAUUUGGUAGAAGAGAAAGGGGCACUGGAUACAGGAAACCUCUAGCCCUCAAAAGAAAUAAAAGGAAAAGUAAAGAAAUCUGAAUCAUUAUAAAGAGAAAGGAAAGAAAAUCAAUGAAUCAUUUUAUUUUUAUUGAAUCAUUUUAAAAGCAUAGAAAAAAGAAAUAAAUUCAGAAGGAAUCAGGAUAAACAAA